GCGGAUAUGCCGGAGCGGUCAAACGGGCUAGCUUGAGGUGCUAGUGGCUUAGUGCCUGCGCAGGUUCGAUUCCUGUUAUCCGCA
rnacentral:tRNA from 1 species